UCUUAGCAUAUACUCUAGUCAGUCCUGCAGUGACUUCAGUCGUAAAGGAGGGUAAGUUCCUCACGCCCCACAAUAACUGGCUAUCAACUGGAACAGAUAUCUAGGGUGGCGAGAAUGUUGGCUCUUCUCUGUACGGCGGCAGUCAUCACGAGCGCCAUCGCCAACCCUCCAAUUGCAACACCCAAGUCGCUCCGGCCCAACCCUCCUCCUACAACUACAACUACAACUACUAUUACUACU